UUCUUGCCUUACGGCAGUUUUUGUUCAGGGCUGUUUUUGGCCUUGUCUUAGGCUGUGCUGUCAGCUGUGCUUUCCAUCUAUCCAAUCUCAGGGACUAGCAGUUCUUCCCAACAUCUUUAAGUUUUAGUGAUUGCAGUAUCUUUUCGUGUUGGUGUUGCCGUCUCUGUUUGUGUCGUGGUGCCAUUUCUUAAGGGACCGUGGGGUUUGUUUCCUUUUUAUUCUGGGGUUGCAGUAGAGCCUCCUUGCCUUUCCACUGCCUCCCUGCAGGUUGUUUUGAUCGAUGUUGUGUCUGGUCGUGGAGUCGUUCUUGUUCUUGAACAUUUUUGGUGUUGUUUCAGUCAUGUGUUCAAUCUUGUUUUGUGGAGGCUUUUUGUGCAGAUGUGCAUGUUGGGUGGGAGCUGUUGUGCCCAGAGUUGUAGAGUCAGGGAUGAGUGGAUUGAGCUCUAGGUGUCCACCGUUAAUUUGUUGACCUAUUAAAUUGCGUGGGCUGUGUUUGUACCGUUGUCUGGCAUGGAGUUGCCAUUGGUAGGAGGGUGUACAUUCUCUGUAGUGGUGUUUUAUAGUUCAUACUCAAGACUGUUUUGAAUAAUGUUUUCUGUUGUGUGCUGUUUUUUCAGAGUAUUCUUAUAAUAUUUUUUUUUUUUAGGUGACCACGUUGUUAAUAUGACUGUAAAUUGUAUCUACAGCUGCAUAAAUCAAAUACCUGUCUGAGAUGGGACCUGAGACACCAAUGUGAUGUUUACCGAGUUCACUUUAUUGUUGGACUUUAGACAAAGCUGCCGUCUCCACGUGCCUUGCAACAAUGUGAUUGGUUGUAUCACAUGCUAUACAAUAAUGUGAUAGGCUGCAUGCACUGUCCUCGCGCUGUGCACACUUGUGUCCGGUGCUUGCUCAUUCAUUGUUACCUUCUUAUGGGGCUCCUUUUGUUUCUUUUGUCUCUGGCUUAACCUCUCCGCCAGGCUGGUGACAACCCCAUCUGCCCGGGAGGGGGGACUCUGCCUCGCUAUCUCUCCCUCGUUAAUAUUUCAUUAGAUAAAAAAAUACCCUGUGUUUCACACUGUCUUCAAAGUAUGAUACAGAUUAAGAACAUUAAGGCUAAUAUAAUUACAAUUAACAAGAACAGUUCCGUUUUCAAUAUUCCUUUUAACCAAAGAGGGUAUCCAACUCAGAAAAGUCAACAUCCUCUGUUAUUUUCAUGUUUUGAAAAUCUUCUAUCUUAUGAAGAUUGUGUUUGUAUGUGUUGUUUGAAAUUAAAAUAUGACUGUGACGAUGGCUAAUAACACAAAAUCAAUUGCUGCUCUCUUUUACAAAGUGGUGUGACAAUCUUGAAGCACUGGUUCCCAUGCUUAGCAGAACUAAGACCUUGUUAUGCGUUAAACGUCUGGUUUUUGUUACAUUGGGAGGAAGAGAUAGUUGCCAUCUCAUCUUAUCUUUCCCAAAGUUUUAUGGCCAUGAAGGCAGACACCUUGGAAGAUAAGGACUAUUAACAGUGUUGCCGUGAAAGGUUACAUGGCCUAAUUUGGAUGAUAGAGAUGAACCAUCUGUCGAACCGCCAGCUACCAGAAGAGAACACGAACAACAGCUACUCCUGAUGGGCAAGACAUUUCGCUUCUGGUCAUUAUGGUCAACUUUCUCCUAGUUUGAAGACCCCAUAACCAUUUCUAGAAGAGUCUUCCUAAUUAGCAGGAAGAGCGAGCAGAGGGAGGAGACCAACCGCCUUCUAAUAUCUUGUAUGUAAAUGAUGAGCCUUAUAAAACAACGUCACGUAUGAUACAGGUCAGCAGCAUAUAAAUAUGCAACGCGUCCCCCACUCUGGUGGUCGUCACAGGAUCGACAUACCUGUGGAGUGGUCAUAUCUUACUCUUAGUCUCUCUGUCUGCCUGUCUUUUUCUGAUAUCUUAGUUUUCAUUUUCUCUCUCUCUCUUCCUUUUCUUUACAAUGGUUUUUAUAUGUUUAAAUUCUGCUGCUAAAGUCUUGUUAAGUUUUGCAUUACAGUUACUAAUUGUUGCCAAUCCACUGCUUUUAGAAGGGUUUUUGCUGUCCAUGUAUUGAUAAGUUUUGUGGUAUUAUAACAUACUUUUGCCAAGUCACCGAUUGCUGUAAUUUGUAUACCACCACAUGCUUCUAGUAAAUUCAUAAUUGUA